GACAGAGGGUGCAAACGUUGUUCGGAUUUACUGGGCGUAAAGCGCGCGUAGGCGGCUUUGCAAUUCGGAUGUGAAAGCCCACGGCUCAACCGUGGAAGUGCAUCCGAAACUGCAUGGCUUGAGUCUCGGAGAGGAAGGUGGAAUGCUUGGUGUAGAGGUGAAAUUCGUAGAUAUCAAGCAGAACACCUGCGGCGAAGGCGGCCUUCUGGACGAUGACUGACGCUGAGACGCGAAAGCGUGGGGAGCAAACAGG
rnacentral:rRNA from 1 species